rnacentral:rRNA from 1 species
GACGAACGCUGGCGGCGCGCCUAACACAUGCAAGUCGAACGAUUAAAGCACCUUCGGGUGUGUAUAAAGUGUCGAACGCCUGAGUAACACGUGUGCAACCUGUCCCUUUCAUUUUGAUAUCCCCGCGAGACACUGGGUAUAACCGAAUACUUCGAGUCUUGCUCCUGGAUGACGCGUGCAAGCUCCGGCGGGUGGGGAUUGGCCCGCGGCCUGUUAGCUUGUUGGUGGGGUAAGGGCCUACCAAGGCCAUGAUGGGUAGCUGGGUUGAGAGACCGACCGGCCACAUUGGGACUGAGACACGGCCCAGACUCCUACGGGAGGCAGCAGUGGGGAAUAUUGCACAAUGGGCGAAAGCCUGAUGCAGCGACGCCGCGUGCGGGAUGAAGGCCUUCGGGUUGUAAACCGCUUUCAGCAGGGACGAGGCGAAAGUGACGGUACCUGCAGAAGAAGCCCCGGCUAACUACGUG